AGAUAGUAAUGAUCCAGCCGAGGGCACCAGGCUACAAUUUGCAGAACUGGACUGAAGAAUGGCUGACAUAGCCAGCUGCAGUGGCUCAUGCUUGUAAUCCCAACAGUUUAGGAGGCCAAAGCAGGAGGAUCACUUGAAGUCAUGAGUUCAAGACCAGCCUGAGCAACAUGGCAAGACCCCAUCUCUAUAAAAAAUACAAUAAUUAGCAGGGCAUGGUCGCACAUGUCUGUAGUCCCAGCUGCUUGGUAGGCUGAGGCGGAUGGAUCAUUUCAGCCCAGGAGGCAAGACUGCAGUGAGCCAUGAGUAUGCCACUGCACUCCAGCCUGGGUGACAAAAGAAAAAAAAAAUAGAAUGGAUGAUAUAAACUUUAUUGUUUACUGUGGGGUUGCGGUGGGGGGAGGCGUUAGUUCGUUCUUCUUUCUCUCAAUACCUUUACAAAGUCUCUGUUUCAAAAGAGAGCGCAGAUUAUGCCUGCUACCCCAAGUCCUGAGUCAGAAUUCAAAGGCAAAUAUGGUAGGGUGAUGAGGCAGAAAGGACUUAGGCAGCAGGAGAGCUGUGAUUGGUGGAAGGGGCAGGCAGGAAGAGUUUGGGUUUGGAGACACUGGUUGCUGAGUCAGAACUCCAGCUCUGUCAUUGCCUGUGUGACUUUGGGCAAGUUACAUGUGAUUGUUGGAGCUUCCAUUUCAUUUGCUAAAUAAUUGGGAUCAUAAUACAUACAACGUGGAGUUGUUAGGAUGUCACGAGAGAAUGCACAAGAAGUAAGUACUCCCGAAUUGAGCUAUUAUCUACCUCAAAGGAUUACUGGAGAAAUAGAAAAGGGAUAUAAAGAAACACAGCAAAGAUGCUUCAUAAAAGGUAAUUAUUAUUAUUGUUAUGAACACCCUUUGAAAUUGGUUAUUCAUUUUCUGAAAGCCACUCAAAGAUUCCGUUCGUAUCGCAGAAGAAUUGGAUAAAUGAUUUCUUUGAUAAACUAGCUUUUCACCUAGGGGAUCUGGUUUGCUGAUCCUACCCAGAUUAGAAUGACUGAAAAUCAAUUUGAUUUGACAGCUGUGGAGAAAAGGAAAUGCACGUACUAACUGUCAAGCAACGCAGCUCCUCGGUGCGGAUACAAAGCAAGGCACGGAAAGGGUCCUGCUGUCUGGGAUCUUGCUGCCUGGUCACCCAUCACGGGUGACAAGAUCCGACCUCCUUCCUGCUGCACUGAUGCCCCAUGGGCCAGCAAAUGCCCACCAAAGGCCAGGCACUGAGGUUCUGGCCUGUUUCUCUGCUUCUGGGGCCUGGCCUUGGAGACUCACCCUAGACUUGCAAACUCUUUCAAAAGUGUUCUUUGUUCCUAUGUAGCACCCAUAGCAAUCACUCAAAGACAGAAAUGACUGGGGUCUGAGAGCUGCAGCUGCAAGAAAGAGGAAGGGAGAUGAAAGGAAAUCCCGCCACCUGCUCCUUGCCACAAGAAUAGAUGACUCGAGCCCCUGCUCCCUUUUGGCCUCCCCUCCACUGAACCCCCAUUUCUGGAUUCCCAUAUUCUUCCAGGUCUCAAAUGCUCCAGGCAUGUCCAACUGCCAAACUCCUGAAAUGAAACAUCCUCUGAAGUCACAAGGCAUAGAUUGGGCCACUGUAGUCCUCCUGUGACCCCAGGAAAGGCCCCUGGCCUCCUCAAGCCUCAGUUUCCAUGUUUGUCAAGUGGGGAGAAUAAAGCAGCACUAGCACUGCCUGCCUCAUGGUUCUACUGUAAGAAUCAUGGGGCAGGUUGAAGGCAGAGGGACUUCCUCGGCUCAGUGUGCCUUCAAGUGGGAGCUGGGGAGUAUUAGCCAUGUUCCAGAGCACUGCAAAUGCGCUCCUUUAAGAGUAGAGACGCUACCUGUGGACCUCAUUUUCACUGUCAUUUUUCCAUGUGUUCUGAUUUUGUCCUAUUUGCCACAAGAGAGGGAUGGGGUUCUCACUGCGUCAACUCCACAGAGGGCUGUUCUCCCUGAGUUUUUAGCAUAAGUAACCCAGGACCCAAAUGAGGAAUUUGGGUGUUUAGAGGUCCUCUUAUGGGUUUAUUUUGAACUAGCUGCUAAGAAUAAUCAUUAAUCAUCAUGAAAUAAGUAAAUUGUGGGAUGCCGCCCAUGCAGCCUGCCAUAUGGAGUUGCCACUGUUAGAAGCAGGAUCUUCUCACAGCAAUAUCUGCCCCUGGAGAAGGACAUCUGCCAUUUGCCUUUUUUGUUUGUUUGUUUUAUUCCCUCCUCUCUCUCUCUUUUAUCUUCAUAUACCAUCAGUUUCUUUCCUAAUCAAUAAGCCUCAUGGACCAUCUACUAUUAUCUCAGUUUGAGCUAUUUUGCUUAUUUUUUUUUUAGUACAAACUACCUGGAAUUCCUACAUACUACUUAGCCUAUAUUUAAAGCCAGAUCCUUCUAAACAUGCCCUCCAAGUUUGAAGAAUAUCCGUUCAACCAGUUUUAUUUACACAAAAAGAGAGGCUUGUUUAAUUUAUAGGGAUAUGUAUUGUAACUAUCUGUCUCCACCCUAGAAAAAAUGCUGUCCUAGACAGCCCUGGACAAGUUGCUGAACUGUGUUCCAAGAAAGUGCUAGUUACUUGUCAUUUAUUGAGAAUACCCUUUGUUUAAAGAAAACUGAAAGCAUACCAGGCAUUGUGGUAAUAUCUUGUUUAGUCAUCAGCACCUCCUCCAACAGUUAGGUACUAUUAUGAUUCCAUUUUACAGGUGAGGAAAAUGAGAGUAGAGAGGAUGAGACAAUGAGAGUAGGAGGGAUGAGGCAGGUUUCUCAGAACCGCAAGCUCAUAAGUAAGAGCCAGGGUGCAAAUCAAGGCCUUCAAUCCACUUUCCAGGAGGCCUGCUGAUGAACUCACAAUGCUCUCCUACAAAAGGCCUGUGGGCUAGGUGCUGGUAUUGUCCUCAUUUUACAGAGCAGGGGGUGAGCUCAGAGAACCUUGGGUGUGAUGAGUUGAGUAAGGAGAGAUGAAAGAUGCUCUUGAACCUCAGCACACAGAGGUGGCCUCCAGGCUUCAAAUGGAUACUUUAUAUUUCUAUUAGUAACGUUACCUGCUACUAUAUUAUGCGAAUUGACUGGAUAGGUUUUCACUGAGUUUGGAAAGUAAGAGUGUGGGAUGGUUUUACUUAAACUAUAGGAUGUGGUGUACAUGUGAAAUAGAUCUUUGGGUUCUAACAUCUUUGGUACAUGUGAAAUAGAUCUUGGGGCCUCCAAGACAUAAUAACACCUAGGACCAACCACCCUCUCAGCAACUGAAGAACACUUUGUGUUUGAUUAUGCGUAAGAUUGUUUAAUCAAUCGCUUUUUUCCCCUGUCACAAUAUUCCACCUUCACGAAGUGUCUUUCAUCUUGGAUCUCCAAAACAGGAGUAAAAGCUGUAAUUAGUUGCAAUGACUGUUGUGUUUUUAAUAGUUACCUGCUGUAAUGUCCAUUUGACAGAUGAAGGGGCUGAGGCUUUGGGUCAGAGUAUGAUAUGCUAAAUGUGGAGAUCCAAGACAGAAGCUAGCCAAGUUCCUCCCACCCUGGAGAGCAGGGCUCCCGGGAGCCCUACAGGAAGCCUUGAUAUGUCACAGAACAAAAAGCACCAUAGAUGGUUUCAGCCUGUCUCCUCCUGCCUUGAGGCAGGGCUCAAGAUUCUUUCUGGAUUGAGAAAAAUAGUUGACUUUCCACCGCAUUUUAAAACAGGUAUAAUUUGUCCAUUCCACUAAAAAAUGAAAGGGGGUUUAAGAUUUAAGAUGCUACUGCCGCAUGUACCAACCUCAAUUUGCUCGUGAUUCAUGAUAAAUCCUAAAUCACAACCAGCUUUUAUUGAAUUUGUGUGUGUGUGUGUGUGUGUGUGUGUGUGCAGGGAGAGGUAGAGUAGGUUGACGUUUGGGAAAAAAAUGAAGAGAACUUUCUCCUACUUUCAACUCUAAAAGAGCAAGAUCCUCAAUGCAACCCUGUGAGUCAAACAAGAGACACAGGAUUUGUCCAAAGUCAUUACUGGUAAAUGGCAGAGCCAGGAUUCAAACCAAAGGGCUUCUUCUAAAACUACAGCAGUGUGUGCAAACGAAGAAGAGAGGGAACCCUGGCUGAAUAGCCGUUUUGGGGGAAGUCAGGAAGUGGAAACUCGCACUUUGGGGAGAAAAAAAAGCACUCAGCAAAAAGAAACAAGGUGUCUUCUUUGGAGCAAACUAAUAAAAAUAUUUUAAAAAUCAGAAGGUUUGUCAUGGGAGUAGAUCUACGGUCGCUCGACCCGUCUUCAGUUCAACUCCUAGAUAUGUACUGUAGAAAAACUCUUAUUCACAUCUGUUGAAAAACAUGUACAAGAAUAUCAUAUAGUUGUAUUAAGUUGGUGCAAAUAUAAUGGUGGUUUUUGCUGUUACUUUCAAUGGCAAAAACCGCCAUUAUGUUUGGACCACGCUAAUAUUUGAAAACAAACAAAUACACGAAAACCAGGCAACUAGAAAUGGCCCCUAUAUCUAACAACAGGACAAUGAAUAAAUGGAAUAGAACAGUACCUAGCAGGGAAAAUAAAUGAACCACAUACAGGUACAUGCACCAACAUGAAUUAAACCUAGAAAUCUAAUGCAGAGAGGAAAAAUUGAGUGAUGCCAGAUAAUAUAAGAUAUGGUGACAUUUUUACCAAGUUAAAAACAAGCCACACACAUACACCUACAGUUCAGUGAUAUCUACCUGAAAAAUACAACUUUUAAGAAAAGCCAGAGAAUGGUAAACAUAAAGUUUAAGGUAGUUUAACUUGAUGAGGAAAAGAGAAAGGACUUGGGAAAGAAGUUUCACCGAUACUGGUUUAUGGUUCUUGAG
rnacentral:lncRNA from 1 species